UUACGACUAUAUCAUGUUGAAACACAUGUUCCCAUACGAUCAUCGAAGUUAAGCAACGUCGAGUCUGGCCCUUACCUAGACGGGUGACCGCUUAGGAGCACCAAGUGUUAUA